UUGGAGGUUGUGGCCUUGAGCCGUGGCUUUCGGAGCUAACGCGUUAAGUAGACCGCCUGGGGAGUACGGUCGCAAGAUUAAAACUCAAAUGAAUUGACGGGGGCCCGCACAAGCGGUGGAGCAUGUGGUUUAAUUCGAUGCAACGCGAAGAACCUUACCUACUCUUGACAUCCAGAGAACUUAGCAGAGAUGCUUUGGUGCCUUCGGGAACUCUGAGACAGGUGCUGCAUGGCUGUCGUCAGCUCGUGUCGUGAGAUGUUGGGUUAA
rnacentral:rRNA from 1 species